UGUGUACUCCGUAACUUGAUAAGACCUCGACUGGGCACGGGCGCACGGCACGUCGGCACAGCAGUUGGUGUUGCAGAGUUGCAGUGGUUUUGAAGUGAGGCGAAGAACACUUCCCAGAAAUGGCAUCGCAUUCAUCAUAUUUGUGUGAUUUUCCCUCCAAAAUUCAUCACCUCACUCCUUUCUCUUCUUCUUCGUCUUCUUCUUCCUUUCGCCUUCCUCUUACUCUGAAGCCCAAUUCUACCUCCUCCCAUUCCAGGCUCAUCCUCGUCAAGUCCUCCCAACUCUCCAUAAAUGACCCAAUUCAAAUUCAAACAGGUUCUGUUAACCCAGAUGCCCGAAAAAGCUACGUUUGGGUGAACCCCAACAGCCCCAGAGCCGCGCAGCUACGUAAACAUUCCUAUGAGUCAAGGUACUCUUCUCUCGUUGACAUUGCUCAUUCUUUAGAUUUAUGUGAUGCUACUCAUGAAGAUGUGGUUAAAGUCUUGUUUGGUUUGGGAGAUAAUGUAGUGGAGCAAGACGCUGUCACUGUUCUUAAUAAUAUGAAAAACCCAGACACGGCUUUGUUAGCGCUUCAAUUUUUCCAGAGUAAGCUCAAAUUAAGCAGAGAGGUCGUGUUAUAUAAUGUUACUUUAAAGGUUUUGAGAAAAACGAGGGAAUUAGACAUGGCAGAGAAGCUGUUCGACGAAAUGCUUCAGAGAGGUAUUAAACCUGAUAAUGUUACUUUUUCUACUAUUAUUAGCUGUUGUAGGAUGUGCAAUAUGCCACAAAAAGGUGUUGAGUGGUUUGAGAAGAUGCCAGCUUUUGGUUGCAAUCCUGAUGAUGUUACAUAUUCUGCUAUGAUUGAUGCCUAUGGAAGGGCUGGCAAUGUGGAUAGAGCCUUUGCUUUAUACGACCGUGCUAGGACUGAGAGGUGGAUUAUUGAUGUUGUGACAUUCUCCACCUUGAUUAAGAUAUAUGGAAAGACCGGUAAUUUUGAUGGGUGUUUGAAUGUUUAUGAGGAGAUGAAGGCUCUUGGGGCUAAGCCUAACUUGGUUAUAUAUAAUACAUUGCUCGAUGCUAUGGGGCGCGCUAAAAGGCCCUGGCAAGCCAAGAAUAUUUUUAAGGAGAUGACUAACAAUGGGAUUUCUCCGAGUUGGGGGACUUAUGCUGCUCUUUUGCGGGCCUUUUGUCGAGCUCGUUACGGUGAUGAUGCCAUCAAGGUCUAUAAAGAAAUGAAGGAAAAGGGACUAGAAUUCAAUGUUAUUCUUUAUAACUCACUUUUAGCAAUGUGUGCUGAUCUGGCAUAUGUUGAUGAUGCUGUAAAAAUCUAUGAAGAGAUGAAGAUUUCCGGGACUUUCCAACCAGAUAGCUGGACAUUUUCGUCGAUGGUUACCAUAUAUUCCUGCAGUGGACAAGUUGCGGAGGCAGAGAAUGUGGUAAAUGAGAUGGUCGAAGCUGGUUUUGAGCCUAACAUUUUUGUUUUAACCUCUCUUAUCCAAUGCUACGGGAAGGCCAAUCAAACCGAUGAUGUAGUGAGGACAUUUGACCGGGUGUUGGAAUUGGGUAUAAUUCCGGAUGAUAGGUUUUGUGGUUGCCUUCUAAAUGUUAUGACACAAACACCCAAAGAAGAACUGAGUAAGCUCAUAGGGUGCAUUUUGAUGUCUAAUGAGAAGCUUGGUGCGGUGGUUCAAAUUUUGUUGGAGGGUGAAAGCAGUGAAGGGCAUUUCAAAGGAGCUGCAUCUGAACUCUUUGGUACCAUUAGCAUGGAUGUAAAGAAGGCUUAUUGUAAUUGCUUGAUUGAUUUAUGUGUCAACCUUAAUUUGUUGGAGAGAGCUUGUGAGCUUUUGGACCUGGGUCUGACUUCUCAAAUAUACAGUGAUUUACAGUCUAGGACUUCCACUCAGUGGUCUUUGCACUUGAAAUCCCUUUCCCUUGGAGCUGCUCUUACUUCAUUACAUGUUUGGACGAAUGACUUAGAAAAGGCCAUAGAAAAGGGUGAGGAACUUCCGCCACUCCUUGGUAUUAACACAGGACAUGGAAAGCACAAGUACUCUGAGAAAGGAUUAGCAGGUGUAUUUGUGGCACAUCUGAAGGAACUUAAUGCACCAUUUCACGAGGCUCCAGACAAGGUUGGCUGGUUUCUGACAACAAAAGCUGCAGCACAAUCAUGGUUGGAGUCUCGAAAGUCCCCUGAAAAUGUUUCUGGAUAGGCCCCCUUUGUCCAUUUCCAAAUUUUGUGGAGGGAUUCUUCAUCUUUACUGUAAUUGUCCAUUUUGCAUGUACGGCAAGACACACUUCGAAUCAUCGAUAACAAAAAAAUACUCCAUUAAUUGCUUAAGGCGGCACGUUGACAAACAUGCUUUUCAUGGCCUGGCCCGUUAUGAGUUGCACUUGUAUGGCCUAAAAGCACUAUAUCGGGUCAUCGGGCGAUUACGGGUCGGAUAUAAUCGGAUAACGUAGUUGUAAUGGGUUAUUGUGCUUAUGCGGAUUGAAUGUGUAUAUUAUUUUUUUGGGUCACUUCAGUUUUUGUCAGAAAUCAAUUGGAUCGGGUCAGUUUUUGAUAGCCCUACUGAUACCCAUAUAAGACCAUAUGCUGAUCUAAAAUGACUAGCCGAGAGUUGGUGGUAUAGUAAAUGAUCAAAUAGUACACAUAGGGCUAUGGGCGGAUCUAAAAUGACUUGCUACUUGAGAGUUGGUGGUAUAUAUGAAUAUGAUCAACGGUUAUGUAGGGAUUGAGAAAUCAUUUACUACAUACGGAAUAUUCUAAAAUAAAGUACUUGUAUUCUUAUAGUAUUUUGAUAAACACGAGGUAAAGU